rnacentral:rRNA from 1 species
GACGAACCGUGCGAACGUUGUUCGGAAUCACUGGGCUUAAAGGGCGCGUAGGCGGGCUGACAAGUCUGGGGUGAAAACUCCAGGCUCAACCUGGAGACGCCAUUCGAUACUGGUGUGGCUUGAGUUCGGUAGGGGAGCACGGAAUUCCUGGUGUAGCGGUGAAAUGCGCAGAUAUCAGGAGGAACACCAAUGGCGAAGGCAGCACUCUGGGACGUGACUGACGCUGAGACGCGAAAGCGUGGGGAUCGAACAGG